AAAGAACCCGUUCAAACUCUUUUCCCAAAAAAAUAUCUUCAAACUAGGACUCCAACUUUUAUCCCUGGUAAAAAUGAACCAAGGCACUGAUGUGCCCCCCAGGCAUGAGAAAUAUCGUCCUCGAGAAGCAAGUCACAACAAUAAAACACAUCAACACCUUUUUUUUGAAAAAAUAUUACAAUAUUUCUCACUGGAAAUUGAACCAAGAUCUUAACUAAGCCUGCACUGCAUGAAAAAUACUAUCCCUGAGAAAAGAAAAGAAAAGAAAAGAAAAG